rnacentral:rRNA from 1 species
UACGAAGGGGGCUAGCGUUGUUCGGAAUCACUGGGCGUAAAGCGCACGUAGGCGGGUCGUUAAGUCGGGGGUGAAAUCCCGAGGCUCAACCUCGGAACUGCCUUCGAUACUGGCGACCUUCGAGUCCGGGAGAGGUGAGUGGAACUCCGAGUGUAGAGGUGAAAUUCGUAGAUAUUCGGAAGAACACCAGUGGCGAAGGCGGCUCACUGGCCCGGUACUGACGCUGAGGUGCGAAAGCGUGGGGAGCAAACAGG